CCACCAUGCGACACACGUUUGGGCUCCUCUGCGCCUGUUGAUCCACCGUGUGACGCACAAGAGGCUCCGCUACACCGGUAACCCGGCGAGCGACACCCGUUUGGGCUCCUCUGCGCCUGUUGCUCCACCGUGUGACACACAAGGGGCUCCUCCAUGAUGGUAACCCACCAUGUGACACACGUCUGGGCUCCUCUGUGCCUGUUGAUCCACCGUGUGACGCACAAGGGGCUCCGCUACACCGGUAACCCGGCGAGUGACACACAUUUGGGCUCUUCUGCGCCUGUUGCUCCACCGUGUGACGCACAAGAGGCUCCGCUACACCAGUAACCCGGCGAGCGACACACGUUUGGGCUCUUCUGCGCCUGUUGCUCCACCGUGUGACACAUGAGGGGCUCCACUACACCAGUAACCCAGCGAGUGACACACGUUUGGGCUCCUCCACGACGGUAACCCACCAUGCGACACACGUUCAGGCUCCUCUGCGCCUGUUGCUACACUGGUAACCCGGUGAGUGACACACAUUCGGGCUCCUCUGCGCCUGUUGCUCCACCGUGUGACACACAAGAGGCUCCGCUACACCGGUAACCCGGCGAGUGACACACGUUUGGGCUCCUCUGCGCCUGUUGUUCCACCGUGUGACGCUCCAGGGGCUCCACUACACCGGUAACCCAGUGAGUGGCACACGUUUGGGCUCCUCCACGACGGUAAUCCACCAUGCGACACACGUUUGGGCUCCUCUGCGCCUGUUGCUCCACCGUGUGACACACAAGGAGCUCCACUACCCCGGUAACCCAGUGAGUGACACACGUUCGGGCUCCUCUGCGCCUGUUGCUCCACCGUGUGACACGAGGGGCUCCACUACACCGGUAACCCGGCGAGUGACACGUUUGGGCUCCUUCACGACAGUAACCCACCAUGUGACACACGUUUGGGCUCCUCUGCGCCUGUUGCUCCACCGUGUGACACACAAGAGGCUCCACUACACCGGUAACCCGGCGAGCGACACACAUUCGGGCUCC
rnacentral:lncRNA from 1 species